UUUUAUUUGAGAGUUUGAUCCUGGCUCAGGAUGAACGCUGGCGGCGUGCCUAACACAUGCAAGUCGAGCGAUUUCCUUCGGGAAAGAGCGGCGGACGGGUGAGUAACGCGUGGGUAACCUGCCCUGUACACACGGAUAACAUACCGAAAGGUAUGCUAAUACGAGAUAAAGUGCUAUGAAGACAUCUUC
rnacentral:rRNA from 1 species